AUUGGAUACCAAGAUGCCAAGCCUGGGAAGAAGCGGCAGCUCUGCAGCUACAUGUCCGCCCAAGACCUCAAAUUACUGAAAAGGUCUUUCAUUUUAUUUGCAGAGAAUGCAUACUCAAAGGCUUUAUAGUGGGCUAGGUGGUGGGAAUGUGGAGUUGCAAGGGUUGCACAGAAACUGUGUCAAGUAGGUCCAAUCUUUUGCAUCACUACAAGUUAAAGCAUCCACAUUUUGGACGUCGUUCUCGCUUUCCAUGUAC